GUGGGGAAUCUUAGACAAUGGGGGCAACCCUGAUCUAGCCAUGCCGCGUGAUCGAUGAAGGCCUUAGGGUUGUAAAGAUCUUUCAGCUGGGAAGAUAAUGACGGUACCAGCAGAAGAAGCCCCGGCUAACUCCGUGCCAGCAGCCGCGGUAAUACGGAGGGGGCUAGCGUUGUUCGGAAUUACUGGGCGUAAAGCGCACGUAGGCGGAUUGGAAAGUUGGGGGUGAAAUCCCGGGGCUCAACCCCGGAACUGCCUUCAAAACUCCCAGUCUUGAGGUCGAGAGAGGUGAGUGGAACUCCGAGUGUAGAGGUGAAAUUCGUAGAUAUUCGGAAGAACACCAGUGGCGAAGGCGACUCACUGGCCCAAUACUGACGCUGAGGCGCGAAAGCGUGGGGAGCAAACAGGAUUAGAUACCCUAGUAGUCC
rnacentral:rRNA from 1 species